rnacentral:rRNA from 1 species
UACGGGGGGAGCAAGCGUUGUUCGGAUUUACUGGGCGUAAAGGGCGCGUAGGCGGCCACGACAAGUCACUUGUGAAAUCUCCGGGCUUAACCCGGAAAUGGCAUUGAAUACUAUUGAGCUGGAGGUUUGGAGGGGGGACUGGAAUUCUCGGUGUAGCAGUGAAAUGCGUAGAUAUCGAGAGGAACACCAGUGGCGAAGGCGAGUCCCUGGACAACACCUGACACUGAGGCACGAAAGCUAGGGGAGCAAACAGG